rnacentral:RNase_P_RNA from 2 species
ACGUUCAGGUAAUCGCUGCAUCUUUUGAUGUAGAGGAAAGUCCAUGCUCGCACGAUCUGAAAUGAUCGUAGUGUUCGUGCCUAGCCAAUAAAUAAGCUAAGGCAACUUGGUCUAGACUAGGUUGACGGCAGGGAAAAGAACCUAAGGCAUCUGCUAUGGUCGAGUACCCUUGAAAGUGCCACAGUGACGAAGCUCUUUUGGAAACGAAAGAGGUGGAACGCGGUAAACCCCACGAGCGAGAAACCCAAAUUUGGUAGGGGAACGAUCUUGAAGGAAUAACAACGGAGAGAUCGACAGACACAGUCUUGUAGAUAGAUGAUUACCACCGGAGUACGAGGGUAAAACCGUUCGCAGUACAAUGGUACAAAACAUGGCUUAUCGAA